rnacentral:rRNA from 1 species
GAUGAACGCUAGCUACAGGCUUAACACAUGCAAGUCGAGGGGAAACGACAUCGAAAGCUUGCUUUUGAUGGGCGUCGACCGGCGCACGGGUGAGUAACGCGUAUCCAACCUGCCCACCACUUGGGGAUAACUUUGCGGAAGUAAGACUAAUACCCAAUGACGUCUCUAGAAGACAUCUGAAAGAGAUUAAAGAUUUAUCGGUGAUGGAUGGGGAUGCGUCUGAUUAGCUUGUUGGCGGGGUAACGGCCCACCAAGGCGACGAUCAGUAGGGGUUCUGAGAGGAAGGUCCCCCACAUUGGAACUGAGACACGGUCCAAACUCCUACGGGAGGCAGCAGUGAGGAAUAUUGGUCAAUGGACGAGAGUCUGAACCAGCCAAGUAGCGUGCAGGAUGACGGCCCUACGGGUUGUAAACUGCUUUUAUAAGGGAAUAAAGUGAGAGUCGUGACUCUUUUUGCAUGUACCUUAUGAAUAAGGACCGGCUAAUUCCGUGUCAGCAGCCGCAGUAA